CAGGCUCCGCGAGAGCCGCCCCCACCCAAUCACCGAGCGGGACCCAGCUCGGCCGGCCCAUAGGACUCGGCCGCUGCAGAGACUCCCUGACUCAGUCCCGCCCCCUUGACCCCCGCCGCCCAAUCACCGCGCGCCUCCGCGCCCAGAGCUAGCGAGACCCCGCGAGAUUCCCUCACCUCACACAACCCUCACCUCGGGCGGCCCCGCCUUCUUCACCUUUCCUGCCAAUCACGCGGUGCCGCUCCGGCCUGCCGGCCAAUCGAGUCUCCCCCCGGGUCGAUUCCCGCCCCCGAGACCCGCUUUUUGCCCAAUCGCGGCGCCCUAUCCGAUCCAAUUAGCCAAUGGGGGAAAACGAAAGCCCGAAAAGGGGUUACUGGGCCAAUGGUGCUCGGAGCCCGGGCGGCGGCCUGAUUGGCAGCUCUCCUCACGAGUGAGGGGCGGCGGCGGCCGUUUUUCUUCGAAUCGCUGCGCGAGGCUCCGCGUGACGGCUGAGGAAGUCUCUGGUGCGCCCGUCCGCGGGUGGGCAGCCGGCCAAUGGGAGGCGGGAAGCGGGUGACGAGCGGCGGGAGGUGCCAAUGGCGCUGCCGGGGCGGGGUGAGGUCUCACUUACUGUUGGACUUCAGCAGACCUGAUCUGUGAAGAUAAUCAAGGUUCUUUUGCUCUGAGUGCUCUGAAAAGCUUGAUAAUGGCUCCGCUACCCAAUGCUGGAUUAGUUCGGAACGCUUUGCAGUUGUACCGUUAUUUGCUCCGAUGCUGUGAGCAGCUUCCUGAAGAGAAUAUUCGUCAGCAUUACAGACAUGCAAUCAGGCAGAGUUUCAAAGUUCAUGCUGAUGAAGAUGAUCCUGAUAGAAUACAGCAAAUUAUUAAGAGAGCCAUUGAAGAUGCUGACUGGAUCAUGAACAAAUACAAAAAGCAGAAGUAGAAGAAGGAUGAAGACAAGAAUGUCAUUGGUAAACAUCUUUAGAUGGCAUCAGUCAAAUAAGUCCAGUACUAUGUUGCAUGUUCCCUGUGACCCUAAUUUCUAAACUCUCCAGAAAAGACUCCAUUCAGCUGAGUUCUGUGCACUCAAUGGCAUGAUCACUG